GAUCAGGUAAGGGUGAAAGGGUGCGGUAAGAGCGCACCGCGCGGCUGGUAACAGUCCGUGGCACGGUAAACUCCACCCGGAGCAAGGCCAAAUAGGGGUUCAUAAGGUACGGCCCGUACUGAACCCGGGUAGGCUGCUUGAGCCAGUGAGCGAUUGCUGGCCUAGAUGAAUGACUGUCCACGACAGAACCCGGCUUAUCGGUCAGUUU
rnacentral:RNase_P_RNA from 1 species